rnacentral:rRNA from 1 species
AAUAUUGGACACUGGGCGAAAGCCUGAUUUAGCCAUGACGCGUGUGUGAAGAAGGUCUUCGGUUAUUAAAGCACUUUAAGUUGGGAGGAAGGGUUGUAGGUUAAUACGCUGCAAUGUUGACGUUACCAACAGAAUAAGCACCGGCUAACAUCGUGCCAGCAGCCGCGGUAAUACGAAGGGUGCAAGCGUUAAUCGGAAUUACUUGGCGUAAAGCGCGCGUAGGUGGUUCGUUAAGUUGGAAGUGAAAGCCCCUGGCUUAACCUGGGAAUUGCUUUCAAAACUGACGAGCUAGAGUACGGUAGAGGGUAGUGGAAUUUCCUGUGUAGCGGUGAAAUGCGUAGAUAUAGGAAGGAACAUCAGUGGCGAAGGCGACUACCUGGACUGAUACUGACACUGAGAUGCGAAAGCGUGGGGAGCAAACAGG